GGAGGUGCUGUGGUUUGAUAGAAGAACCUUGGCUUUGCAUGUCAAAGGUCCCAGGUUCAAUCCUCAGCAUCUCCA
rnacentral:tRNA from 1 species